AUUCGGCAUGAUAACUGGACGACGGUUUCGCUAUCCUACGACUCAAGUCUUUUAAGUUGCCGAUAGAUAAAACACAACAUGCGAGGGAACCUUACACGUUUCUCGGAGCUUUCACUAGCCACUACACAUGACGUUAGUACGUUUAAUUUCUCGCAACAUCC
rnacentral:snoRNA from 1 species